rnacentral:rRNA from 1 species
UACGGGGGGGGCAAGCGUUGUUCGGAAUUACUGGGGGUAAAGGGCGCGUAGGCGGGCAACUAAGUCAGACGUGAAAUCCCUCCGCUUAACCGGGGAACUGCGUCUGAUACUGGAUGGCUUGAAUCCGGGAGAGGGAUGCGGAAUUCCAGGUGUAGCGGUGAAAUGCGUAGAUAUCUGGAGGAACACCGGUGGCGAAGGCGGCAUCCUGGACCGGCAUUGACGCUGAGGAGCGAAAGCCAGGGGAGCAAACGGG